rnacentral:rRNA from 1 species
UAACGACUCUCGGCAACGGAUAUCUCGGCUCUCGCAUCGAUGAAGAACGUAGCGAAAUGCGAUACUUGGUGUGAAUUGCAGAAUCCCGUGAACCAUCGAGUCUUUGAACGCAAGUUGCGCCCCAAGCCGUCAGGCCGAGGGCACGUCUGCCUGGGUGUCACG